rnacentral:rRNA from 1 species
AGGACGAACGCUGGCGGCGUGCUUAACACAUGCAAGUCGAGCGGUAAGGCCCUUUCGGGGGUACACGAGCGGCGAACGGGUGAGUAACACGUGAGCAAUCUGCCCUUCACUUCGGGAUAAGCCUCGGAAACGGGGUCUAAUACCGGAUAUGACUGCGCCAUGCAUGUGGUGUGGUGGAAAGUUCUGGCGGUGAGGGAUGAGCUCGCGGCCUAUCAGCUUGUUGGUGGGUAAUGGCCUACCAAGGCUUCGACGGGUAGCCGGCCUGAGAGGGUGACCGGCCACGACGUGGGACUGACGACACGGCCCAGACCUACCGUACGGGGAGCGAGCAGGUGGGGAAUAGUGGACAAGUGGGACGAAG